UGGGGAAUCUUGCGCAAUGGGCGAAAGCCUGACGCAGCGACGCCGCGUGAGCGAUGAAGGCCUUCGGGUUGUAAAGCUCUGUGGGGAGAGAAGAAUAAGUGCAAGCUAAUACCUUGCAUGAUGACGGUAUCUCUUUAGCAAGCACCGGCUAACUCUGUGCCAGCAGCCGCGGUAAGACAGAGGGUGCAAACGUUGUUCGGAAUCACUGGGCGUAAAGCGUGUGUAGGCGGUGAAGUAAGUCGGAUGUGAAAGCCCCAGGCUCAACCUGGGAAGUGCAUUCGAUACUGCUUCGCUAGAAUAUCGGAGAGGUUGGUGGAAUUCUCGGUGUAGAGGUGAAAUUCGUAGAUAUCGAGAGGAACAUCGGUGGCGAAGGCGGCCAACUGGACGAAUAUUGACGCUGAUACACGAAAGCGUGGGGAGCAAACAGG
rnacentral:rRNA from 1 species